CGGGAAAACUCUGGAGAGACCGGUUCGAUCCGGCGCCGAAGGUGCAUGGGGACGCGUCACCCCCCGAACUCUCAGGCAAAAGGACAGAGGGGCACGA
rnacentral:ncRNA from 2 species